GGUGUCGAUGACCGGUGUUGGGUCGUCGGGGUUGCAGGCGCCGGGGGCCGCCAGUUUGGCCAACACCGGUUCGAAGCUGGCCCGCGCCUCC
rnacentral:tRNA from 3 species